rnacentral:rRNA from 1 species
UGAGAUUUAAAGAGCCGCAGUAUCCUGACUGUGCUAAGGUAGCAUAAUCAUUAGUCUUUUAAUUGGAGACUGGUAUGAAUGGUUAAACGAGAAAUCAACUUUUUUUGUUGUAAAGCUUGAAUUUAACUUUUUAGUGAAAAGGCUAAAAUUUUUCAAAAAGACGAGAAGACCCUAUAGAGUUUUAUAAUCAAGGGAAUAUUUCUUUCUUAGAUUUUUAUGAGAGGUAUUUACUGUAGUUAUUUUGUUGGGGCGACAUUUAGAUAUAAAAAACUCUUUAUUUUUAAAACUUUUAUGAAAGGUAAAUUGAUCCUUUAAAAAAAGAUCAUAAGAAAAAAUUACCUUAGGGAUAACAGCGUAAUCUUUUUUGAGAGUUCUAAUCGACAAAAAGGUUUGCGACCUCGAUGUUGGACUAAAAUUAAGGCAGGGUGCAGCAGUUCUGCUAUAAGGUCUGUUCGACCUAUAAUUUUUUACACGAUCUGAGUUCAGACCGGCGUAAGCCAGGUUG